ACCGGCGGAAGGUUGCGUAACGCCUGAGCAACAUGCCGGUAUCUGGGGAAUAAGCACCGGGAAACGGGGUCUAAUCCCCAUAUCAACAGAGUUCCACAUGAGCCUUGUUUGAAAGUCACGACGGAUACGGAUUGGGCUCGCGUGACAUUGGCUAGUCGGCGGGGUAACGGCCCCACCGAGGCGACGAUGUCUAGGGGUUCUGAGAGGAAAGGUCCCCCCACACUGGAACUGAGACACGGUCCAGACUCCUACGGGAGGCAGCAGUGAGGAAUAUUGGUCAAUGGGCGCAAAGCCUGAACCAGCCAUGCCGCGUGAAGGAUUAAGGCCCUAUGGGUCGUAAACUUCUUUUGUGGUGGAGCAAUAAGUGUUACGUGUAGCACGAUGAGAGUACAUCACGAAUAAGCAUCGGCUAACUCCGUGCCAGCAGCCGCGGUAAUACGGAGGAUGCAAGCGUUAUCCGGAUUUAUUGGGUUUAAAGGGUGCGUAGGCUGUGUCGUAAGUCAGGGGUGAAAGCCCAGGGCCCAACCCUGGAACUGCCCUUGAUACUGCGGCGCUAGAGUUCGGAUGCCGUGGGAGGAAUGAGUAGUGUAGCGGUGAAAUGCAUAGAUAUUACUCAGAACACCGAUUGCGAAGGCAUCUCACGAAUCCGACACUGACGCUGAGGCACGAAAGCGUGGGGAUCAAACAGGACUAGAUACCCUGGUAGUCCACGCAGUAAACGAUGAUAACUAACUGUCGGCGAUAAACAGUCGGUGGCCAAGCGAAAGCGAUAAGUUAUCCACCUGGGGAGUACGUUCGCAAGAAUGAAACUCAAAGGAAUUGACGGGGGCCCGCACAAGCGGAGGAACAUGUGGUUUAAUUCGAUGAUACGCGAGGAACCUUACCCGGGCUCGAACGGCUAGUGAACGACUCAGAGAUGAGAAGUUCUUUCGGA
rnacentral:rRNA from 1 species